rnacentral:tRNA from 1 species
GCGGACGUGGCGAAACUGGUAGACGCAAGGGACUUAAAAUCCCUCGGCCGCAAGGCUGUACGGGUUCGAUUCCCGUCGUCCGCA